rnacentral:rRNA from 1 species
AUUGAACGCUGGCGGCAGGCCUAACACAUGCAAGUCGAGCGGAUGAAGGGAGCUUGCUCCUGGAUUCAGCGGCGGACGGGUGAGUAAUGCCUAGGAAUCUGCCUGGUAGUGGGGGAUAACGUCCGGAAACGGGCGCUAAUACCGCAUACGUCCUGAGGGAGAAAGUGGGGGUUUUUCGACCCCAACGCAACAAGAUAAGCUAGGUCGGAUUAGCUAGUUGGUGGGGUAAAGGCCUACCAAGGCGACGAUCCGUAACUGGUCUGAGAGGAUGAUCAGUCACACUGGAACUGAGACACGGUCCAGACUCCUACGGGAGGCAGCAGUGGGGAAUAUUGGACAAUGGGCGAAAGCCUGAUCCAGCCAUGCCGCGUGUGUGAAGAAGGUCUUCGGAUUGUAAAGCACUUUAAGUUGGGAGGAAGGGCAGUAAGUUAAUACCUUGCUGUUUUGACGUUACCAACAGAAUAAGCACCGGCUAACUUCGUG